rnacentral:tRNA from 1 species
UAUAUUGAGUUGUAUUGCAUAAGGAAUUUUGAAUUCUUUGGAAGUAAUUAAGUUUUACUCUUUAUAA